UAAGAACCUGGAGCACAGUCUUACAGUUGGUCUGGCUGGCCAGUGAGCUCCGGAGAUCUGCUUUCUCCAUCUCCCACCUUUCUCCCGAGCUGGUUAUGUAUGUAUGUAUGUAUGUAUGUAUGUAUGUAUGUAUGUGGCACAUACCACUACAAAGGGGUUUUCAGUGGAGGCUGGGGAUCAGAACUGUAGUCCUAAUGUAAGCAUUUUAUCCACUGAGUUAUCUCCCCAGCCUCUGCCCCCUUGCAAUAGGAAGUACCCGACUUCAGCAUGGACGUUUUAUUCCUUGGACUGGCCAAUCAGUUCCUUUUGCAUGUCUAUCUUACCACAUCCUCUCCCUAGAGUAUCUCAGAGUAUCUCAGAUAUAGCCUGGGUUCCUUCUUAACAUAAACCCCCCUGUCCCAGCCCCAUUUGCUCUCUGGCCCACAGGCCCAACCCCUUUGUAGGAGUCUUGCUCACUAGUGUCUAGCCAGCAUCCAGCUCAGUUUUUUUCCCCGUGUCCCCAGAUCCUGCCACAUGGCUGGACUCCCAUGUUAGCCUCAGCUGCCAGGCCUGUGUGGCCUCUGUGUUCUGUCACAUGCUCCCUCCCAGCUGCUCACACCUAUCCAUUUGCACAUGCGUGCUUCAGCAUAACCUGGCUCCCCAUUCUGUCAUUAUAUGCUGCAGGAGAGCUCAAAUGAGUGCCUGUCCCACAGAGCUGGGUGUCCCUCAGGCAGCCCUUACCCCUUGUGACUCUUUGUAUUUGUUUAGUUGCUGGUGUCUCUAGAAACAUCCAUUCUGCCAUGUCUUGAAGGCAAGAGCUCUCCUGCAGACAGCAGGCUGCAGGAAGGGGUGGGUAGAUGAGGUAUGGGGGAGCACAGAUUCUCCUGCAUGCUUUUAGCUCCCAGGACCCCCUGCGCCGCCGCCUCCCCCCACCCCGUGAGCACACACCUCAGCUGCAGAGUGAAUUAUGCCAUUUAGCUGCCGCUGCGGUGGUUUACCUUCCUAAUUAUGUUUGGCUUAGAACAAUGUUAAAAUUGUUUUUUCUUUCUCUGAGUACACAGAGCCGGGGCGUGGGAGGAGGUGGCUGGGGAAGUGCAAGGUGGCAGAGAGAAGACGCUGGGCUUCAAAGGCUGUCACAGAUAAGCCACAUGCUGGUAAUCAAGAAUUGCCUGUGCAGAGUCCUGUAAACAAACAGGGGAGAGGUGAGGUGGGCCUCAUACCAUGUGUGGGAGAGAGCUGGAAGGAGGGUACUAGGCUCACAGGCUGGGGGGCCCAGCCGAGCCCUCAGUGGAGGCCCCAGUGGGUGCUCGGUGCAUUCUGAGAGCUGAGAACUUUCCCUUCCUUUUGUUGAACCUUUCAUGCCUGUCACACACCUGAUGAGGCAGAUACGGUUAUUGCUAUCUUUUUAUAGAGAGGUAAACUGAGGCAGAAAGAAGGAUGCCGCUAGCCUGGGGUCACAAAGAUAAGCAAUGAGGAAACUUGGGACCCUGGUUUCAGAGCUCAACUUAGAGACCUUUGCCGCACAGCCACUGAGGUGAGGGGAGUUCUGAACUGAUAGGGUGGAAGAUGUGUAGAGAGCACUUCCUGGGGCGCCAGGCCUGAGUUACAUCUCCAGAUGCCUGAAGUCAGGGAGGAUGACUCAUGCCCUUCAUCCCAGCAACUUGGGAGGUGGAGGCAGGAGGGUCAGGAGUUCAAAGUCUUCCUUGGCAAAUUAGUAACUGAGAGAGAGGUCAGCGUUGGUUACAGGAGGCCUUGUCUAAAAGAAAGAAAGAAAG
rnacentral:lncRNA from 1 species